rnacentral:rRNA from 1 species
UCCUCAUUCCAGUGAAAAAUGCCCUAGAACAGUAAAAAUGGAGCAGGUAUCAGGCACAACUAAUAGCCCAAGACACCAAGCUUUGCCACACCCACACGGGCCAUCAGCAGUGAUAAACAUUAAGCAAUAAGCGAACACACCUACCUACUUUUAAAGCUUGACUUAGUUAUGAUUUAAUAGGGCCGGUAAACCUCGUGCCAGCCACCGCGGUUAUACGAGGGGCCCAAAGAAGCAGACACUCGGCGUAAAUAGUGGUUAGAAUCAUGCCAAACACUAAAAAUUAAACCAUAUCCUAGACGUAAAACAAAGGAUAGAUGAAACCAAACAUUUUUAAAAACAGGCAAUUUGACCCACGAAAACUAAGAAACAAACUAGGAUUAGAUACCCUACUAUGCUUAGUCGUUAAUAAGAUAUUACUCUACUAAAAUAUCCGCCAGAAAACUACGAGCGAAAAGCUUAAAACUCAAAGGACUUGGCGGUGCUCCAUACCGACUUAGAGGAGCCUGUCCUAUAAUCGAUACUCCACGAUAAACCUUACCAGUCUUUGCCCAAUCAGCCUAUAUACCGCCGUCACCAACCUACCUCAUGAGAGAAAAAUAGUAGGUGUAAAAGCCCAACAGCUAAAACGUCAGGUCAAGGUGUAGCUAAUAGACUGGAAGAGAUGGGCUACAUUUUUUAAUAUAAAAUAUAACGGCACGGUACAAUGAAAUUUCUACCCAAAGGAGGAUUUAAUAGUAAAAUUAACAAGAAAGUUAAUUUUAAACACG